rnacentral:rRNA from 1 species
AAAUUGAAGAGUUUGAUCAUGGCUCAGAUUGAACGCUGGCGGCAGGCCUAACACAUGCAAGUCGAACGGUAACAGGAAACAGCUUGCUGUUUCGCUGACGAGUGGCGGACGGGUGAGUAAUGUCUGGGAAACUGCCUGAUGGAGGGGGAUAACUACUGGAAACGGUAGCUAAUACCGCAUAACGUCGCAAGACCAAAGAGGGGGACCUUCGGGCCUCUUGCCAUCGGAUGUGCCCAGAUGGGAUUAGCUAGUAGGUGGGGUAACGGCUCACCUAGGCGACGAUCCCUAGCUGGUCUGAGAGGAUGACCAGCCACACUGGAACUGAGACACGGUCCAGACUCCUACGGGAGGCAGCAGUGGGGAAUAUUGCACAAUGGGCGCAAGCCUGAUGCAGCCAUGCCGCGUGUAUGAAGAAGGCCUUCGGGUUGUAAAGUACUUUCAGCGGGGAGGAAGGGAGUAAAGUUAAUACCUUUGCUCAUUGACGUUACCCGCAGAAGAAGCACCGGCUAACUCCGUGCCAGCAGCCGCGGUAAUACGGAGGGUGCAAGCGUUAAUCGGAAUUACUGGGCGUAAAGCGCACGCAGGCGGUUUGUUAAGUCAGAUGUGAAAUCCCCGGGCUCAACCUGGGAACUGCAUCUGAUACUGGCAAGCUUGAGUCUCGUAGAGGGGGGUAGAAUUCCAGGUGUAGCGGUGAAAUGCGUAGAGAUCUGGAGGAAUACCGGUGGCGAAGGCGGCCCCCUGGACGAAGACUGACGCUCAGGUGCGAAGCGUGGGGAGCAAACAGGAUUAGAUACCCUGGUAGUCCACGCCGUAAACGAUGUCGACUUGGAGGUUGUGCCCUUGAGGCGUGGCUUCCGGAGCUAACGCGUUAAGUCGACCGCCUGGGGAGUACGGCCGCAAGGUUAAAACUCAAAUGAAUUGACGGGGGCCCGCACAAGCGGUGGAGCAUGUGGUUUAAUUCGAUGCAACGCGAAGAACCUUACCUGGUCUUGACAUCCACGGAAGUUUUCAGAGAUGAGAAUGUGCCUUCGGGAACCGUGAGACAGGUGCUGCAUGGCUGUCGUCAGCUCGUGUUGUGAAAUGUUGGGUUAAGUCCCGCAACGAGCGCAACCCUUAUCCUUUGUUGCCAGCGGUCCGGCCGGGAACUCAAAGGAGACUGCCAGUGAUAAACUGGAGGAAGGUGGGGAUGACGUCAAGUCAUCAUGGCCCUUACGACCAGGGCUACACACGUGCUACAAUGGCGCAUACAAAGAGAAGCGACCUCGCGAGAGCAAGCGGACCUCAUAAAGUGCGUCGUAGUCCGGAUUGGAGUCUGCAACUCGACUCCAUGAAGUCGGAAUCGCUAGUAAUCGUGGAUCAGAAUGCCACGGUGAAUACGUUCCCGGGCCUUGUACACACCGCCCGUCACACCAUGGGAGUGGGUUGCAAAAGAAGUAGGUAGCUUAACCUUCGGGAGGGCGCUUACCACUUUGUGAUUCAUGACUGGGGUGAAGUCGUAACAAGGUAACCGUAGGGGAACCUGCGGUUGGAUCACCUCCUUA